GAUGAACGCUGGCGGCGUGCCUAAUACAUGCAAGUCGAGCGAACGGACGAGAAGCUUGCUUCUCUGAUGUUAGCGGCGGACGGGUGAGUAACACGUGGAUAACCUACCUAUAAGACUGGGAUAACUUCGGGAAACCGGAGCUAAUACCGGAUGAUAUUUUGAACCGCAUGGUUCAAAAGUGAAAGACGGUCUUGCUGUCACUUAUAGAUGGAUCCGCGCUGCAUUAGCUAGUUGGUAAGGUAACGGCUUACCAAGGCAACGAUGCAUAGCCGACCUGAGAGGGUGAUCGGCCAAACUGGAACUGAGACACGGUCCAGACUCCUACGGGAGGCAGCAGUAGGGAAUCUUCCACAAUGGGCGAAAGCCUGACGGAGCAACGCCGCGUGAGUGAUGAAGGUCUUCGGAUCGUAAAACUCUGUUAUUAGGGAAGAACAUAUGUGUAAGUAACUGUGCACAUCUUGACGGUACCUAAUCAGAAAGCCACGGCUAACUACGUG
rnacentral:rRNA from 1 species